GUUGCAUAACACAUUACUAAAUAAUAUAAAUAAUACAUUUGUUAAUGAGGCAAGUAAAAAUAACAGCCAGAUGAUCUAAGAUAUACCCAAUAUUACAAAAAAAGAAAAGAGAAAAAAAAGCAAUUAAAAUGUGUUUAAGUAUUUUGUUUUUGUCAUUUUGUGUGUUCAUUUUUGGACCAUUUCAAAUUUCAAAUUUUGGCGCAUUCAGUAUAGUAAAUUACUGUAUACCUACUUGAUGCUGUAAAUAAAAUUCAUUUUGGAAUUUAUGUUUUAUAAUGUUGAUUAUUUAAAAUAAAUUACAUUUAGUUCAAUUAAUCAAUGUUACAUUUUAAAACGCAUUACUUCAAAACCCCGUGUUUUGUGAAUCGUUCUUUGUUGCCGCUUGGUGACGGCGUGUCACGCAAGUGUACUGUGAUUGCAGUUCACCGCAGUGGCCGACAGGGGUCAGCGUUAACAGGUACCACACAGCAACCGCAGCAUCCCGGAUCAGAGAGAGAGAGAGAGAGAGGUGAGCAGUGAGCAGAAGAGAGAUGCUUCGCUCAGAGCGAGCUCGUUCAGUCAGCGGGUCUGCUGUGGGAGAGAGCGGGCUGAAGGAGGGCAGACUGAACCUGUGAUUCUCAAAGGUUUGGCACCAGAUGAAUGAACAAGGCAUUUUAACUUCCUCAAAGCUGAUGUGAUGUCAUCAAGUGUAUUGCCCUGUUAAGAAACAAAUAAAUACAGCUCAUUUCUUUGGCGGUAUAUUGGAAUAGAAAUGGAAAUAAUGUGAGAUUAGGUUGUGAUUCUGCACUCCAUCCAAACUGUAAACUUUGAAAGCCUAGGUACAGGCAAGUGAGAGAACAAUACUUUUGAUGGAUCCAGGAUUAUCGUGGAGCUUUUGAGAGGGAAGCUCAGACUUAUACAACAUGAAUGUGCAAGGAAAGAUACAAGCUGGUGAAGUCAACCAACAAGAAGAAAUACAGAACGACGACAAGCAGCCCUUGACCGAAACAGUGGAAGAUGCCAAUGCCAAUCAAAUCACCAAAGAGAAUAUUUAUUCAGAUGACAGAGAGCAUGGCAGCCCACUACCUCCUCUGGUGUCGCACUCCGAAGCCCAGGAGAGGAUCAUUAUCUGGGGAACACAUGCUCGGUGUGAAGACCCUGAGCUUGAAGAGUUUGAACUGCUGGAGUGUCAAGAGUUAGAAACAUUUUUAGUGGAAGAAGAAGAACAGGUAGAUAUGCAGAGUGAAAGAAGCAGGAAGGGAGCAAAGAACUUCAGUGACAAAGAGUUGUCAUCUACAGCCAUCAACACCACUGUUGGCUCCCCUUGGAAAGACCACAAUGAAAACCAUAAUGUGGGUGGAGAUGCAAAUGAGAACUCUCAGCCCCUUGACCUCAGGACCUUCAGCUCUCGCUCUGGUGUGAAUCGGACCCUAAGAGAUGCAAGAAGUGGUUCAGAGAGCAAUGUCUUUUCAUCUUCCCUUUCUGCAGUGACCAGCCUCAGUGGAAGUUUAGCCAGUGCCCUGGACAGUGCAGGCCGCACACAGCCUCUCUCUUCCCAGUCCACCAAGUCUACCUCAGACAAAGGCAGGAACCAGCAUCCAGCUACUACCGAGUCCUACAUCCACUCAGAGAGAAACAGGGAGAUUCCCAGUGAUUUGGACCAAAACCAUAACUCUACCACACUGCCUCAGGAACCACAAUAUGACCGAAGUAAGCUAAUGCAUCAUUCAUAUGGAGCAGUAAAACUGCAAAAAUUCCAAAUGGAAGCAGAGCAGAAUGCUGGGAAACGGAUUUCAACCGAGGUGCCGAAAGGUAUGGUGAGGGUGCUACCUUCUUGUAGGCAGCUAGUCCGCCCUCUUUCUACUGAAAAACGACUAACCUCAGGAUACCCCAGCAUAGACAACCAGGCAGACCAGCAACAAUCCCGCUCCUCAGAGACAGAUCAGAGCCAUCCACAAGUGCUGCCUGCUAAAGAAGUCAACAGCAAUCCCAAUGCAGACUCUCAGACAACUCCCAACCAGGCUUUUACACGAGAAGCCCUACACUUGAAGAGGCAAAGCUCAGUAGAUCGUGCUGCAAGACCCUCCAGCCUAGAAAGGAAGACUCACUUCAGCAGACGAGCCUACAGCAGUCCGACUAGACCUUCGACACCUCCAUCCCCCAAGACCACAAAGUCUCCUCAAAGACAGCCUUCUUCCUCACCCAUCAAGACUUUACCUUCUCGAUGUCCUCAGUUGGGUUAUGCUGGGUAUAGCUCGGGCUUAAGAGUCCCAGUUAAAACAACAAUCAACACAAGCAUCCAUAAAAUUCCUCCACAGCAGGCAUUAAUUGAAACCUCCCCUCCAAGCAAUUGCCUGCCAAAACCAAAAAGUGUCCGGCCCAAAAUCAUUACGUACAUUCGGAAGACUCCCCAGGUGAAACCCCAGACUUUUGAAGGAACAUACGACGUGUCUUCCUUACCUACGAGACUCUCAGCAUACAGCAGCACACAGGCCAAACCAACUGUCGGAGAUCAAGGGGAAGCCACUGUGCUGAGUGCCUCAAAUUUACUCUAUGAUAAGUAUCGUCAAGAGAUGCAGAAGGUCCGGUUCUUCUCGCCUGGACUCAUGGUGUCUGGGAUUAAGCCACCCAGCAACACUAUGCCCCAUAAAAUGACAGGCAGAGCAGAUAGCUUCUAUGGAUCUCUCAACAAGCCUCUGUCUGCAGCGGCUGGUAGAUCUCCAUUAGCCAUUGGGUCUCCAGUUUCUGGAGCCGAGGACCCUUCUGGAUCCCCUAUGGGAGCACAGGAUAUGGGGAGUCUUUAUCGUCCACCACGAGGCCUAAGACCCCAGCUUGGCAUUGGUGCUGUUAACAGGACUCCCUCUGCAACUGCCAAGAACAGGAUGGUCCUAACAGGCCAGCCGAAGUCACCACUGACCCUCAGUCAACCAAUGCAGGCAGUAAACCCAACCACUCAAAACCCUCAGGAAUCUCAAGAUCAGAGAAAGCCAGUGGCCACUGUGUUAGCUGCUAAAUCCCUCCUGCCGAAGCCAGCUCAGUCUGGGCUGCGCCCUCCCGGUUACUCGCGCCUCCCGCCGGCUCGUCUAGCCGCCUUUGGGUUUGUCCGGAGCUCUAGUGUCUCCUCUGUAUCCAGUAACCACUCAACUGACAGCACACGGAGUGAGCCCAGCCGACCUGCCUACCGUCCUAACAGUGUAAGUGAUGAGCCGCCACCGCUUCACCGUGUCACCACGUCACCUCCUGGAGAUGAAUCCAGAGCACCGUGCCGUAGCACCCCUCAACCCCCCAACACCCCUGCACCCACACGUCGCUCCCUGCUGCCCCCUCCUCGAAGCUCCCCCGUGGCAUCCCGUAAGGAAUUCCAGAAGAGUUCUGAUGGCACCCGUUCAUCUCUCUCUUCACCUAAGAGACUCGCUGUAGUGUCACCUAAACCGCAGUCUCCAGUCCUUCAGAGGCAACAGAGGGCAACAGUGGUGAUCCGAGGCUCAAGCAUGCAGAUUUUGCCUCGUACUGGCUCUCCAGGCCCAGAUAUGAAAAAAGAAGGAGAGCAGAAGAAAGAAAAAGGGCGAGAGGAAGUAGAGAGGAAUGAAGAGAUGCAACUCUUGCAGGGUCGCUGUGCAGAACAGGCCAGGCAACUACAGACUCUUCAGACAGAACUUAAGAAAACCAGCAUGAGUCUGGAGGUCUUUGUGAUCUGCACUCAGCACUUCUCCCUCAAGAUUGAAAAUGCUGAGGAGAAAGAGAGAGAGUUGUCCCAGGAACUCAGUCGGAUUCAACAUGAAGUGGCCUUUAAUGCAGCUCGCUGGGAGCGUCUUCAGAAGGAGAAGAGAGAGCUGGAGCAGUGUUUUGAGAGGGAGCUGAGAGAGUUACAGGUCCAGCAGGAGUCUGAACUCGCUACCGUAGAGGAGAACCUGAGAUUACGGCACGCUUCAGACCGAGACCAUCUCAGAGCAGAGCACCAGUCAGAGGUGGAGGAGCUGUGCACACAGCACCAGGAACAGAUUGAAGAGUUGACCUCCAACCAUGAGGCCGCCCUUGAAGACCUGAAGACCAUGCACAACAUCACUAUGUCAACACUGCAGGAAGAGCAUGCCAGGACCAUGAGGGACUUAAGGAAAGCCCAUGAGCAGCAAAAGGCCAGUCUAGAAGAGGACUUUGAGAAACUGCGCCUCUCGCUUCAGGACCAAGUGGACACUCUGACUUUCCAGAACCGGACUCUGAAAGACAAAGCCAAGCGUUUUGAAGAAGCUCUGAGGAAGAGCACUGAUGAACAGAUAGUGGAUGCACUGGCACCAUAUCAGCAUAUCGAGGAGGACUUGAAGAGUCUGAAGGAGGUAUUGGAGAUGAAGAACCAGCAAAUUCAUGACCAGGAGAAGAAGAUCUGUCAUCUGGAGAAAGUGGUAAGCUCUAAAUGAAUAGGUGAGCAGGAUAAACACACUGUCCAGGAGAACUGUGCAGUCUAGCGUGUUCCUGUAUGUGUGUCACGGUGAAAAAGAAAAAAGAAAGCAGGUGAGAGAAAAACACUCGCAGAAAAAAAAACUGCAAAUAAAUAAAACACUACUGGCAGAAAGAAGAAAACAUUGAACAAUAAAUAUAAAAACUAAUUAUAAAAACGGUAUAUGAAAAAUUGUCAGGAAAAGCGGAAAAUCGUGCAAGUAAAAGAAAAACUCAUGAAAGGCAUGAAAGAAAAUUAUGACACAAGUGCAGAUAAAACCAAAAGAAAAUACAUUGGAAUAUUUAUAGUGCAGAAUGGUAAAUAAUCAUUCAUUUCUAUGAUAAAAUACUGAUUUGAUUUUAUAGUGACAUGGCACAUUACAUUCCCUACUGAAGCUCAGGUAACAAAAGAUAUUGUUAACCAGUACCUUACAAACCCUUGAAACAUCCAAAAAGAUCACACCAUAAUGAAUAAUAAAGGAAGAAAAUGAAUUCAUUUCUGAACAGGCAUGACAAACCACUUGGGGUCCUUCAAGAGUAUUGUAUAUGAUGUAUGUUUGUAUAUAUUCUGUACUGUGCUUAGAAAGGGCAUUUUAUUGUGAUGUUAUAGUAAACAUUUUUUUUUGCUUUUCCUUUCUGCUCCUUUGGAUGUUAUAUUAUUUAUGAUGUAGAAACAGGGCGUGCUUUUCCAUUUUCCAUUCAGCUUUUAUGAAUUCUCAUUGUUUUUUUCCUCACAUGAAGCACGUUUCAGACCCCUGUUGUGCAGGCAGGGGAAGGUUGUGUAAGAAUUUAAUGUCGAGCUCUGUGUUCACUUGAUUCUUCGAGCAGGCCCAAAAGAACCUGUAUCUGGAGGAGCGGGUCCAGGUGCUUCAGCAGCAGAAUGAAGACCUGGUGGCCCGCAUUGAUCGCCAUCUCUCAGUGUCAAGACAACUGUCUGAGGAGAACGCAAACCUUCAGGAAUAUGUGGAGAAGGAG